rnacentral:rRNA from 1 species
GUUGGGUAGGGGAGCGUUCUGUAAGCCUGUGAAGGUGUGUCGUGAGGCAUGCUGGAGGUAUCAGAAGUGCGAAUGCUGACAUAAGUAACGAUAAAGCGGGUGAAAAGCCCGCUCGCCGGAAGACCAAGGGUUCCUGUCCAACGUUAAUCGGGGCAGGGUGAGUCGACCCCUAAGGCGAGGCCGAAAGGCGUAGUCGAUGGGAAACGGGUUAAUAUUCCCGUACUUGGUGUUACUGCGAAGGGGGGACGGAGAAGGCUAUGUUGGCCGGGCGACGGUUGUCCCGGUUUAAGCGUGUAGGUGUGUGUUCCAGGUAAAUCCGGUUCACUUUAACACUGAGGCGUGACGACGAGGCACUACGGUGCUGAAGCAACAAAUGCCCUGCUUCCAGGAAAAGCCUCUAAGCAUCAGGUAACAUCAAAUCGUACCCCAAACCGACACAGGUGGUCAGGUAGAGAAUACCAAGGCGCUUGAGAGAACUCGGGUGAAGGAACUAGGCAAAAUGGUGCCGUAACUUCGGGAGAAGGCACGCUGACACGUAGGUGAAGUGAUUUACUCACGGAGCUGAAGUCAGUCGAAGAUACCAGCUGGCUGCAACUGUUUAUUAAAAACACAGCACUGUGCAAACACGAAAGUGGACGUAUACGGUGUGACGCCUGCCCGGUGCCGGAAGGUUAAUUGAUGGGGUCAGCGCAAGCGAAGCUCCUGAUCGAAGCCCCGGUAAACGGCGGCCGUAACUAUAACGGUCCUAAGGUAGCGAAAUUCCUUGUCGGGUAAGUUCCGACCUGCACGAAUGGCGUAAUGAUGGCCAGGCUGUCUCCACCCGAGACUCAGUGAAAUUGAACUCGCUGUGAAGAUGCAGUGUACCCGCGGCAAGACGGAAAGACCCCGUGAACCUUUACUAUAGCUUGACACUGAACAUUGAGCCUUGAUGUGUAGGAUAGGUGGGAGGCUUUGAAGUGUGGACGCCAGUCUGCAUGGAGCCGACCUUGAAAUACCACCCUUUAAUGUUUGAUGUUCUAACGUGGACCCGUAAUCCGGGUUGCGGACAGUGUCUGGUGGGUAGUUUGACUGGGGCGGUCUCCUCCUAAAGAGUAACGGAGGAGCACGAAGGUUGGCUAAUCCUGGUCGGACAUCAGGAGGUUAGUGCAAUGGCAUAAGCCAGCUUGACUGCGAGCGUGACGGCGCGAGCAGGUGCGAAAGCAGGUCAUAGUGAUCCGGUGGUUCUGAAUGGAAGGGCCAUCGCUCAACGGAUAAAAGGUACUCCGGGGAUAACAGGCUGAUACCGCCCAAGAGUUCAUAUCGACGGCGGUGUUUGGCACCUCGAUGUCGGCUCAUCACAUCCUGGGGCUGAAGUAGGUCCCAAGGGUAUGGCUGUUCGCCAUUUAAAGUGGUACGCGAGCUGGGUUUAGAACGUCGUGAGACAGUUCGGUCCCUAUCUGCCGUGGGCGCUGGAGAACUGAGGGGGGCUGCUCCUAGUACGAGAGGACCGGAGUGGACGCAUCACUGGUGUUCGGGUUGUCAUGCCAAUGGCACUGCCCGGUAGCUAAAUGCGGAAGAGAUAAGUGCUGAAAGCAUCUAAGCACGAAACUUGCCCCGAGAUGAGUUCU